rnacentral:rRNA from 1 species
GACGAACGCUGGCGGCGUGCUUAACACAUGCAAGUCGAACGGAAAGGCCCUGCUUGCAGGGUACUCGAGUGGCGAACGGGUGAGUAACACGUGGGUGAUCUGCCCUGCACUUCGGGAUAAGCCUGGGAAACUGGGUCUAAUACCGGAUAGGAGCCAUUUUUAGUGUGAUGGUUGGAAAGUUUUUUCGGUGUAGGAUGAGCUCGCGGCCUAUCAGCUUGUUGGUGGGGUAAUGGCCUACCAAGGCGGCGACGGGGAGCCGGCCUGAGAGGGUGGACAGCCACAUUGGGACUGAGAUACGGCCCAGACUCCUACGGGAGGCAGCAGUGGGGAAUAUUGCACAAUGGGCGCAAGCCUGAUGCAGCGACGCCGCGGGGGGGAUGACGGCCUUCGGGUUGUAAACUCCUUUCGCUAGGGACGAAGCUUUUUGUGACGGUACCUAGAUAAGAAGCACCGGCUAACUACGUG